CCUACGGGUGGCAGCAGUGGGGGAUAUUGCACAAUGGGGGAAACCCUGAUGCAGCGACGCCGCGUGGGGGAUGAAGUAUUUCGGUAUGUAAAGCCCUAUCAGUAGGGAAGAAAAUGACAGUACCUGACCAAGAAGCACCGGCUAACUACGUGCCAGCAGCCGCGGUAAUACGUAGGGGGCAAGCGUUAUCCGGAUUUACUGGGUGUAAAGGGUGCGUAGACGGGUAUGUAAGUCUGGAGUGAAAGCCUGGGGCUUAACCCCGGAACUGCUUUGGAAACUGUUUAACUGGAGUACAGGAGGGGCAGGCGGAAUUCCUGGUGUAGCGGUGAAAUGCGUAGAGAUCAAGAGGAACAC
rnacentral:rRNA from 1 species